CAAAGAUUUGGUCCCGGUCUUAUUAUCAGCUCUUCCUAAACUUACACAUGCAAGUCUCAGCACACCCGUGAGGAUGCCCUUUCUCCUAAACCAGGGUAAGGAGCUGGUAUCAGGCACAAAACUUGCCCACUACACCUAGUCUCACCACGCCCUCAAGGGCCUUCAGCAGUGAUAAAUAUUGUUUAUAAGCGACAGCUUGACCCAAUCAUAGGAAAGAGAUCUGGCCAAUUCGGUGCCAGCCGCCGCGGCUAAACCGUUUGAGUUCAAGUUGAUAAACAUCGGCGUUAAGCGUGAUUAAAGACUUACUUAAUUAGAAUAAAAUCUACACUCAAUUGUUAUAACCUUGUUGUAAAGAAAACCAAAAACGAAAGUUAUUCUAAUCUACUUGAACCCACGACAGUAAGGACACAAACUGGGAUCAGAUACCCCACUAUGCCUCACCGUAAAAUAUUAACUUACACCAUCAACGCCAGGGUAUUAUGAGCCUAGCUUAAAACCCAAAGGACUUGACGGUGUCCCAUCCAACUAGAGGAGCCUGUUCUAUAAUCGAUAAUCCCCGAUCUACCUAACCCUAUUUUGCUAAUCAGUCUGUAUACCUCCGUCGCAAGCUUACCAUUUGAAUGUUUACAGUAAGUUCAAGGGUCUCAAACACCAAUACGUCAGGUCAAGGUGCAGCUUAAAAUAGGGGAAGCAAUGGGCUACAAUUUCUAACAUAGAACAUACGAAAUACUGCAUGAAACACAGUUAUGAAGGCGGAUUUAGCAGUAAAAAGAAAGUAACGUGUUCUUUUUAAUAUGGCUCUGGGGCGUGUACACACCGCCCGUCACCCUCUUCAAGUUUCUAUUUUAAAGUUUAUAACAACCCUUAUACUACAAACUAUUUUGCGAAGAGGCAAGUCGUAACAUGGUAAGUACACCGGAAGGUGCACUUGGAUCACA
rnacentral:ncRNA from 1 species